rnacentral:lncRNA from 1 species
UCAUUCAUCAAAGUAUCGCUUAAUAACAGCAUAUACUACUUUUUCAGACUAUGAAUACUAUAGUCUUGUCAGUUGAGCUGUCCCCCCCCCCCUACUUUAAGCUUACCACAGCUUAUAUUCUCCAUAGUUGCAUCUACUUUUUAUUAAUCUUCUUAAAUAAAGUGUAUAGGACUGGUUCUAAACCGAUUUGGUCCAAUUUCCAGUUAAGGCAAUCCGAUCGCUCACCUUAUCAACUGUUACUAGAAAAAAACUGCCAGACAUCCACCCUUAUCAACCGUUGCUUCAUCUAUGUAGAAAAAAGUGCUAGACAUCAAACAAAUUGGUAUAAAGUAUACCCUAUUCUUUUGCUCGAUUGGACUCAGGAGAAAAAAUUCAAAUUUAUUGGACUCUCCUAUAAGAUUGGUUUUUACCUUUUUUAUAUGACGGUUUGGAUUACAUGAGAGUCUGAUGUUAAGCGUGCUUGUUUAGGCGAAAGCACAAAGCUAUGUCUUGGAAAAAGUCCUUGCUUAAAAAACGCUUGGACAUGGAAACUCCAACUGGUUCCUAGGUCCCUAGCAUCCCACCAGGUCUCUAGAACCGGCCCGUGUCCAUCGACGCUAGGCUCAUGAUACUGGUGCUUGUACUUGGAUCUGGUGCCCCUACCUAGAUCUCGACACCUUCACUCAAGUCCAUCGAGGCAAAGCUUGGGCCACAGAUGCUCACACCCAGGUCCAUCGAGACCUAGCCUGACGCUUCAACACUCAGGCUAGGGUCCACAAAGGCUGAGUGAGAGAUCUUGAUACCCGAGCUCAAAUCCCCAAUGCCCUGGUCAAGGUCCAUCGUGGCCAGACUUGAGCCUCUAGUACCUGUAUUGGGGUUUCCACUAUCUAAGACUUGAAUAGUAUAUGUCUAUUUAGGAAAAUCAAAUCAGAUUUUCCAUAUUAAAUGACGGAAAAUAUUUUCUGUAUAAUUUUCAAGUUUCGAUUUAACAUCCAAAAAUAUUUUCAUUUUACUAAAAAAUGAUUUCCUGAAAAAUACUUUCAGAAAUAUCACAUUUUUUUAGAAAUAAAUGGAACCUAAACUUGAUAAAAUCCCGUAAUUGAUUAUUUGGAAAAGUAUACUACAUGUAAAAUUCACAUGAAAAUUCACAUGAAAAUCUUUCCCCUUAUAAAAUUUUCGGCUUGCAACUAAAGAACUUCAUACUAGAAAAUAAACAAGCCGUUGCAUCAUGCAUCCAUGGGAGGCCCCACAUCACCAUCCACAAAUCAAAAUCAAAAGGAAGAAAAAGGAAAUUCUAUAAAAAUGAAAAAUCAUUAAAGAUAUGAGAUCAUCGUCAUCGUCAUCCAUCAAAUGAAAAUGCCAUCGGAAAAGCCAUUACCACCGACCCCUGAGAACUCUCUUCCUCCGCGGGUGUAAGAGAUAGGGAGAGUCGCACCCAGAGUGAGCUCGUCGCAGCUCCUGUAUCUGCACCGCGACCGAUGACACUCCCACCAUUUAGCACAUAAGAGCAAAGGAAUCGAAACCACAGCAGACCGAAAUCGAAACAGUCCACAAAGAAAUCCAAAUCCAAACCGUUAAGAGAGAGAGUAGUACCUGAGAGCGGGCCGAUUGACUGCAGACUGACAAAGGUGAGGCCGCGACCCGCGAGACCGAGAGAGAGAGAGGUGUCAGGAGAUAAUUGCAAGAGAGAAAGAUCGAGUGGCGCCGCAGGAGAGACUCGAGAGACGAGAGAGAGGCCAGAUCUGAGUAAGCGCCGCUCAAGAGACGAUCGAGAGGAGAGAGAGAGAGAAGGCCAGAUCUGAGAAAGCGCCGUUCAAGAGACGAGAGAGAGAGAGAGAGAGAGAGAAAGAGAGGCCAGGUUUGAGAAAGUGAGAGCGUACUUGACGCUGCGACUUG